GAUGAACGCUAGCGGCAGGCUUAAUACAUGCAAGUCGAGGGGCANCGCGGGUAGCAAUACCUGGCGGCGACCGGCAAACGGGUGCGGAACACGUACGCAACCUUCCUUUAAGUGGAGAAUAGCCCGGGGAAACCCGGAUUAAUACUCCGUAAUAUUAUAAAGUGGCAUCACUUUAUAAUUAUAGAUUUAUCGCUUAAAGAUGGGCGUGCGCCUGAUUAGGUAGUUGGCGGGGUAAUGGCCCACCAAGCCUUCGAUCAGUAACUGGUGUGAGAGCACGACCAGUCACACGGGCACUGAGACACCGGGCCCGACUCCUACGGGAGGGCAGCAGUAAGGGAAUAUUCGGUCAAUGGACGCAAGUCUGAACCAGCCAUGCCGCGUGGAGGAU
rnacentral:rRNA from 1 species